rnacentral:lncRNA from 10 species
GAGAUGCAUGCAGCCACUCGCCAGCUGUCACCUGGUUUGCAGACGCCCGCGCACCUCGCAAGAGCCACACCUGGUACCUGUGCCCAGCUGCAAGAGGCCCAUGGCUAUCUGGCCGGUAAGGAUCCACAAGGCUGCAAGGCACUUUUGUAUGUUUCCUGGUUGCACAUGUGUGUUGCUUUCUCUUGGAUGGAGGGGCCAUGGAGACGUGGACACAUCUGAAUGGAGUGGCAGAGGGACAGAUGACCAUGGGUACAAACUUCAUCUCCCAGGAAUACCAAGAAGUGGAAUUGGUGGGUUUUAGGAGGCCAGCACAGGAACAGAGGACGACACCCAUGACCAGCACUGA